rnacentral:rRNA from 1 species
CACACUAUCAUUAACUGAAUCCAUAGGUUAAUGAGGCGAACCGGGGGAACUGAAACAUCUAAGUACCCCGAGGAAAAGAAAUCAACCGAGAUUCCCCCAGUAGCGGCGAGCGAACGGGGAGCAGCCCAGAGCCUGAAUCAGUGUGUGUGUUAGUGGAAGCGUCUGGAAAGGCGCGCGAUACAGGGUGACAGCCCCGUACACAAAAAUGCACAUGCUGUGAGCUCGAUGAGUAGGGCGGGACACGUGGUAUCCUGUCUGAAUAUGGGGGGACCAUCCUCCAAGGCUAAAUACUCCUGACUGACCGAUAGUGAACCAGUACCGUGAGGGAAAGGCGAAAAGAACCCCGGCGAGGGGAGUGAAAAAGAACCUGAAACCGUGUACGUACAAGCAGUGGGAGCACGCUUAGGCGUGUGACUGCGUACCUUUUGUAUAAUGGGUCAGCGACUUAUAUUCUGUAGCAAGGUUAACCGAAUAGGGGAGCCGAAGGGAAACCGAGUCUUAACUGGGCGUUAAGUUGCAGGGUAUAGACCCGAAACCCGGUGAUCUAGCCAUGGGCAGGUUGAAGGUUGGGUAACACUAACUGGAGGACCGAACCGACUAAUGUUGAAAAAUUAGCGGAUGACUUGUGGCUGGGGGUGAAAGGCCAAUCAAACCGGGAGAUAGCUGGUUCUCCCCGAAAGCUAUUUAGGUAGCGCCUCGUGAAUUCAUCUCCGGGGGUAGAGCACUGUUUCGGCAAGGGGGUCAUCCCGACUUACCAACCCGAUGCAAACUGCGAAUACCGGAGAAUGUUAUCACGGGAGACACACGGCGGGUGCUAACGUCCGUCGUGAAGAGGGAAACAACCCAGACCGCCAGCUAAGGUCCCAAAGUCAUGGUUAAGUGGGAAACGAUGUGGGAAGGCCCAGACAGCCAGGAUGUUGGCUUAGAAGCAGCCAUCAUUUAAAGAAAGCGUAAUAGCUCACUGGUCGAGUCGGCCUGCGCGGAAGAUGUAACGGGGCUAAACCAUGCACCGAAGCUGCGGCAGCGACGCUGAUGCGUUGUUGGGUAGGGGAGCGUUCUGUAAGCCUGCGAAGGUGUGCUGUGAGGCAUGCUGGAGGUAUCAGAAGUGCGAAUGCUGACAUAAGUAACGAUAAAGCGGGUGAAAAGCCCGCUCGCCGGAAGACCAAGGGUUCCUGUCCAACGUUAAUCGGGGCAGGGUGAGUCGACCCCUAAGGCGAGGCCGAAAGGCGUAGUCGAUGGGAAACAGGUUAAUAUUCCUGUACUUGGUGUUACUGCGAAGGGGGGACGGAGAAGGCUAUGUUGGCCGGGCGACGGUUGUCCCGGUUUAAGCGUGUAGGCUGGUUUUCCAGGCAAAUCCGGAAAAUCAAGGCUGAGGCGUGAUGACGAGGCACUACGGUGCUGAAGCAACAAAUGCCCUGCUUCCAGGAAAAGCCUCUAAGCAUCAGGUAACAUCAAAUCGUACCCCAAACCGACACAGGUGGUCAGGUAGAGAAUACCAAGGCGCUUGAGAGAACUCGGGUGAAGGAACUAGGCAAAAUGGUGCCGUAACUUCGGGAGAAGGCACGCUGAUAUGUAGGUGAAGUCCCUCGCGGAUGGAGCUGAAAUCAGUCGAAGAUACCAGCUGGCUGCAACUGUUUAUUAAAAACACAGCACUGUGCAAACACGAAAGUGGACGUAUACGGUGUGACGCCUGCCCGGUGCCGGAAGGUUAAUUGAUGGGGUUAGCGCAAGCGAAGCUCUUGAUCGAAGCCCCGGUAAACGGCGGCCGUAACUAUAACGGUCCUAAGGUAGCGAAAUUCCUUGUCGGGUAAGUUCCGACCUGCACGAAUGGCGUAAUGAUGGCCAGGCUGUCUCCACCCGAGACUCAGUGAAAUUGAACUCGCUGUGAAGAUGCAGUGUACCCGCGGCAAGACGGAAAGACCCCGUGAACCUUUACUAUAGCUUGACACUGAACAUUGAGCCUUGAUGUGUAGGAUAGGUGGGAGGCUUUGAAGUGUGGACGCCAGUCUGCAUGGAGCCGACCUUGAAAUACCACCCUUUAAUGUUUGAUGUUCUAACGUUGACCCGUAAUCCGGGUUGCGGACAGUGUCUGGUGGGUAGUUUGACUGGGGCGGUCUCCUCCUAAAGAGUAACGGAGGAGCACGAAGGUUGGCUAAUCCUGGUCGGACAUCAGGAGGUUAGUGCAAUGGCAUAAGCCAGCUUGACUGCGAGCGUGACGGCGCGAGCAGGUGCGAAAGCAGGUCAUAGUGAUCCGGUGGUUCUGAAUGGAAGGGCCAUCGCUCAACGGAUAAAAGGUACUCCGGGGAUAACAGGCUGAUACCGCCCAAGAGUUCAUAUCGACGGCGGUGUUUGGCACCUCGAUGUCGGCUCAUCACAUCCUGGGGCUGAAGUAGGUCCCAAGGGUAUGGCUGUUCGCCAUUUAAAGUGGUACGCGAGCUGGGUUUAGAACGUCGUGAGACAGUUCGGUCCCUAUCUGCCGUGGGCGCUGGAGAAUUGAGGGGGGCUGCUCCUAGUACGAGAGGACCGGAGUGGACGCAUCACUGGUGUUCGGGUUGUCAUGCCAAUGGCACUGCCCGGUAGCUAAAUGCGGAAGAGAUAAGUGCUGAAAGCAUCUAAGCACGAAACUUGCCCCGAGAUGAGUUCUCCCUGACUCCUUGAGAGUCCUGAAGGAACGUUGAAGACGACGACGUUGAUAGGCCGG